rnacentral:lncRNA from 1 species
CUUGGGUGCUGGGAAGAGGCACAUGUCACACGUGCAAGAAGGUCCAAGGAUGAGAUUAAAAAUUCCACAAAGGUCCAAAUUCUAGAAUCACAGUCUCACAGGUGUGCUAGAUUUUGAUCUGAGAGACAGCAGUCAACCUGUGGACCAGAUCCACUCAUGAGAGUCAAUUUUCCAACUUUUGACUGUCUCCAGGGCCCAGACAGAAGAGAAGAGUCACAUCAUCUAGAUGAUGAAUGAAAAGAUAUGUCAUUAUUCUCCUUUGGGCAGUGCUUCUGCAGAAAAGUUGCACCUUCUAGGUGUUGGACUCAGCAAUAUAUCACAAUGUCUGCAGUAUUUUGGAAGGAGAGGAGAGUCACCAUUACUUAGUCUAUCUUCAAUUUACAGACCUUGGCUUUUCUACCCCAAUUCAAGAAGUCACUUCUUCAGUCAACCAAACCAAUUACAAAAUUGUGUUCCAAUGUCACAUGUUCAAAAAUAAACAGUUCCUGAAA